AGCUCUAAUAGCGUAUAUUAAUGUUGUUGCAGUUAAAAAGCUCGUAGUUGGAUUUUGGUGUUUGACAAAUGGUCUGCCUUCGGGUCUGCACUGUUUGUUGGCACUUCUUUUCUGGGGAACUCACUGCUCUUAAUUGAGGGGUGCUGUAACGCAGAUCGUUUACUUUGAAAAAAUUAGAGUGUUCAAAGCAGGCCAACGCAUUGAAUACAUUAGCAUGGAAUAAUGGAAUAGGACUUUGGUCUUAUUUUGUUGGUUUCUAAGGCCGAGGUAAUGAUUAAUAGGGAUAGUUGGGGGCGUUUAUAUUCCGUUGUCAGAGGUGAAAUUCUUGGAUUUACGGAAGAUAAACUACUGCGAAAGCAUUCGCCAAGGAUGUUUUCA
rnacentral:rRNA from 1 species